UAUAUAUAUAUAUGUAUGUAUACUUAUCACAUCCUUUUUACGUAAUAAGGAGACUCGUCAAGAGUAUUAGCUGAAACGCGGCCAUAGUUGAGCAACGAGGAAGGCCGUUAUAUCGUAACGGCCACUGGUGUGUGCAGUACGGAAUGUGGAAUCGCGGAUGAAAAAACGUGUCACGAAUCCUUGACCUCCUCUCGUAUACACAAGGUGCUAGCUUAGGAGAGCACUUGGGCGAUCAACCACAAGAAAGAUGGCUACCUAAAUACUCUUAGAUUCUUCAAUCUCUUUUUUCGCGUAUAAUAGAAUUUCUUAGAAAAUGUAAAAUGUAAGAAAAAUAAAUGUAAUCGGCAUAUUACAUUUAAAAGUUAAAAGAUACUCGAAUCUUAUAUGAGAAGUUGCGAAUAACCGGCUGAACUCUGGCAUGCCAGGCUAGACGAUCCUUGACCUUCUGCCGCAUACCAAAGAAAUUCUGAAACAACGUUGUCUCUUACGCACGAAUGUAGAAAUUUCUUUUUAUUCUCAUCGCAAUGAGUACAACGACCGCCCACUACAAUUGCGAACGCAAGGAACCUCGUUGACAAUCGAUUUGGAAAAUGAAGCAACAGACUUGGCGCGUUUGUCUUUCGAUAUAAUCGAUUUCCAUCACUUUGAAGUCUUCUUGACUGUGCUUCUACGAUAAGACUAGAAGGAAAGUAUGUUCGAUCGCAUAUUACUUGAAGGAAAAGAGAAAGAGAGAGAGAGAGAGAGAGAGAGAGAAAGCUCUUCCAUCUUCUACGUAUGCUGUUACGUACUGUAUAAUGUGUAUUGUGAACAACGAGGUGAAGAUGUCAUCUAUUAGCAUGAUAUGUUGCAGGUUAACUUAUGGAAAGAUAUGACCGCUCCAAUGCCUUCUGAAAUUGAAUUACACGCAUGGUGAUCCACGUGAAAGAGGUGGCUACCUGUGCAUGCAGAAUGAGGACAUGUUAAGGCACUAUUUGUAUUACAUGUAACCUGGAGAAUGUUUGGUUGGAUGCCAAGGAAAAAAAAAACUUCUUUGUUCUUUAUAAAAUAUCUAUAUAUACAAGAGUAUAACAUAGUAUAAUAGUUCUUGUCAAAUCAGAUGUCUAAAUAGUAGACGUUUAAUUAAAUCGAUAUGAUUACACGUGUUGUAUAUUAUCCGAUUGGAAAGACAGUUUCUUUACAAUUUGAAAAUAAUAUAUUUUAUAAACAUGUUGCAUCCUGUGAGCCACGCGAGUAUGUAACAGCCUAAUGGAAAGAUGUAUGGAGAAUGCGUGACAAGAAUCCAUGGCCUAUACAGACAGAUCUGUUUAGCUUCCGGUGUUUAUCGUAUCCUAACAAGCUUUGUAGUACUCAGCCUUACAGAUAAGGACAGCUCGUGAAUGAUGCACCUCCCUUUCCUCUCCACACGUUACCUUUUAUGGAUGUUUUACGAUAUACGUUCACAAGUGUACGCGUGCUGGGCGUCAAAUGAAUGAAUUUCCAUGUGGUACUACGUAAUCGUAUAUCCUAAGUAUUCAAAUGAAAGAAUAAAAUAAUUUCCUCUUUGUAUAAAAUUAACGACUUGGUAAGAAAAAAAAAAAGAAAUAAAAAUAAAAAAGAAAGAAAGACAGAAAAAAAGAAAAAUAAAGAUAAAAAUUUUUUUUUCAAUCAUCACCAACGAUAAGACGAACGAUUCAAUGUAAAAUCGUGUUUAUAUUUGAGCCAAUUACCGAAUGAAAUAGAAUUUAAUUAAAUAAGCUCUUCGAAGCUUUUUCCUUUAAGUCUACCAAUUCCAUUUCCUCUUAUUGUUAUAUCUUUUUUUUUUGUUUUGCUGUUUUGAUAAUCAACGUCUAUGGUGCAAUAAUGAUAGGAUGACGACGACGACGACGACGACGACGACGACGACGACGAUGACGACGACGGCAACAAUAACUCGUAUGAAAGUAUGAAUACAUUGCAGUCCUAUGCAAAUGAAACUAUGUUGCACAUACCGAGACAUCGAUCGCGAUCGGGUAACGGUUUACCUGCAUGCAAUACGAACAUAGUGGAGUAUCGAUCAGUUCCCUUUCAUAAAGUACGCAUUACGUGCUUGGAAAACCGUUCGUUGUAUAAACUACUAACGUAUAACACGAUACGAUCCAUUCUUAAUACAAUUGUAAAUACAAACAAGAUGGAAAUGAAUCAACUUGACUGGAUGAAGCCAAAUGUCUGAUUUCCGCUUUGAACAUGUGCACAAGAAUUAAACGUGUUCGAUUUUUUAAUGUUUAUGUCAUAUGUAAUCAGAGCAUAAAUAUUUUUAUAAUUAGUUAUAUUAUAGAAUCAUGAAGUUAAGAAUACGAAUUUAAGAAGUUGUAUGUUAGUCUGACUUCUAUAAUAAAUGUAAUAAAUAAGAUUAUUAUAAAGAAAUUAUAAUUAAAUAAAUAAUUAUGUAUAUACAUAUAUCUUUACA